rnacentral:rRNA from 1 species
UACGUAGGGCGCGAGCGUUGUCCGGAAUCAUUGGGCGUAAAGAGCUCGUAGGCGGUUUGUCGCGUCUGCUGUGAAAUCCCGAGGCUCAACCUCGGGUCCGCAGUGGGUACGGGCAGACUGGAGUGCGGUAGGGGAGAAUGGAAUUCCUGGUGUAGCGGUGGAAUGCGCAGAUAUCAGGAGGAACACCGAUGGCGAAGGCAGUUCUCUGGGCCGUAACUGACGCUGAGGAGCGAAAGCGUGGGGAGCGAACAGG